UUGGUGAAUUAUCGUCUCAACCAAGCUUAUAAUGGAACGCAUGAAUGCUCCUUCUUGAUAACUGACAAGAGUUACUUAACUGUAGAAUACGGGCUAGCCUUUGCUAAGAAUUCGUCACUUACUCCAAUUUUCAAUCAAGCAAUAAGGUUAAUUGAUCAGUCAGGAAUUCUAGAGUUUUCACGACGGGCUAGUUUUACUGGCAAAAACCCGUGUUCCAUAGGCAAUGGUUAUACGUCAAGAGCGAUGCAGCUUGGCGACUUCCCCGGACUAUUUUACAUAACCUUAAUUGGAUUAUCUACCGC